GGGGUCGACUGGUUUUGACAGCAAGACCAAUUGAUCGGUAAGCACGUCGUGAAGGCAGCAAUUCACGUUAAUCCCGAGCUGCAACACUUUUACACGGCGAAUCUAAUUACGCUUUGGCUGCUUAAUCUGAAUUAAAGUAAGAUUAAUCCACGUCCGUACAAGGUACGGAGGCUGAAUUCUCCCCUGUAGCCUUGGUUUGUGGCGACAGUUUACGGAGAACCGUAAAAAUAGACCUAGAAGGUUUCUUGCUUCGCGGAACCUUCGAAAUUUAAGAAGCUAAGUAGCGGAUGGCAGUUUCCGGCCUAGUUCGCUAACGAAAACCCAAGCGGAAAAUAAACGUGUAGAAAGCCCAUUGAUUGCUUGUUUGGACCCGGGUUCGAUUCCCGGCGAUUCCACGA
rnacentral:tmRNA from 1 species